UACGUAGGGUGCGAGCGUUAAUCGGAAUUACUGGGCGUAAAGCGUGCGCAGGCGGCUUCGCAAGUCAGACGUGAAAUCCCCCGGGCUUAACCUGGGAAUGGCGUUUGAAACUACGGAGCUGGAGUAUGGCAGAGGGGGGGUGGAAUUCCACGUGUAGCGGUGAAAUGCGUAGAUAUGUGGAGGAACACCGAUGGCGAAGGCAGCCCCCUGGGCCAAUACUGACGCUCAUGCACGAAAGCGUGGGGAGCAAACAGG
rnacentral:rRNA from 1 species